UCCGGCUUAACGCCGGCAGUCUCCCUAGAGUGCCCAACUUAAUGGUGGCAACUAAGGACGAGGGUUGCGCUCGUUGCGGGACUUAACCCAACACCUCACGACACGAGCUGACGACAGCCAUGCAGCACCUCUGUGGCGGCCCCCGAAGGGGAGACCCUGUUUCCAGAGCUGUCCACCACAGUUCAAGCCCAGGUAAGGUUCUUCGCGUUGCAUCGAAUUAAACCACAUGCUCCACCGCUUGUGCGGGCCCCCGUCAAUUCCUUUGAGUUACAGCCUUGCGGCCGUACUCCCCAGGCGGGGUGCUUAACGCGUUAGCUGCGACGCUGAAAGGGUCGCUCCCCCCAGCAUCUAGCACCCAUCGUUUACGGCGUGGACUAC
rnacentral:misc_RNA from 1 species